GGAUUUUCUUAGUAGCGGCGAGCGAAAAGAAAAUAGUUCAGCACUAAGUCACUUUGUCUUUAUGGCAAAUGUGAGAUGCAGUGUAUGGAAUGUCAAUUUUCUAGUAUGAGAAAUUAACGAUUUAAGUCCUUCUUAAAUGAGGCCAUUUACCCAAAGAGGGUGCCAGGCCCGUAUAACGUUAAUGAUUACUAGAUGGCAUUUCCAAAGAGUCGUGUUGCUUGAUAGUGCAGCACUAAGUGGGUGGUAAACUCCAUCUAAAACUAAAUAUAACCAUGAGACCGAUAGUAAACAAGUACCGUGAGGGAAAGUUGAAAAGAACUCUGAAUAGAGAGUUAAAUAGUACGUGAAACUGCUUAGAGGUUAAGCCCGAUGAACCUGAAUAUCCGUUAUGGAAAAUUCAUCAUUAUGAUUUUAAUAUUUAUAAUAUUAUAAUAAUGGUGUGCAUUUUUUCUAUAAAGGACAUUGUAAUCUAUUAACAUAAAUUAAUUUAUCAUAAGAUCAUUUGCGUAAGUUUAUUCAAAUUAUUUUGCUUGCAUUUUAAUAUCGAAUAAAUGCUUUUGAUUUGAUAAAGUGUUGAUAGAUUUAUUAUAUACAGUGCUUAAAUAUUUAUAUUUUAUAAUAGCAUAUUAAUCAAUGAUUUUUAUGUUCAUUAUAUGCACUUGUAUGAUUAACAAUGCGAAAGAUUCAGGAUACCUUCGGGACCCGUCUUGAAAC
rnacentral:rRNA from 1 species